rfam:Oryza glumipatula chromosome 6, whole genome shotgun sequence.
AAUAAGUGCAGUUUUGCACUAUUCACGUUAACGUUUGACCGUUCGUCUUAUUUAAAUUUUUUUUAUGAUUAGUAUUUUUAUUGCUAUUAGAUGAUAAAACAUGAAUAGUACUUUAUGUGUGACUAAAUAUUUUCAAUUUUUUCACAAAAAUUUCAAAUAAGACGGAUGGUCAAACGUUGGGCACGGAUAUCCACGGUUGCACUUAUU